GCAUUCAGUUGCCAACGGUAGGCCGGGCACUCUGGAUGGACUGCCGGCGACAAGCCGGAGGAAGGUGGGAUGACGUCAAGUCAUCAUGGCCCUUAUGUCCAGGGCGACACACGUGCUACAAUGGCCGGCACAGCGGGAAGCGAGGGGGCGGACCUUGAGCGGAUCCCUCAAAGCCGGUCUCAGUUCGGAUUGCAGUCUGCAACUCGACUGCAUGAAGUUGGAAUCGCUAGUAAUCGUGGAUCAGCCAAGCCGCGGUGAAUACGUUCCCGGGCCUU
rnacentral:rRNA from 1 species